rnacentral:rRNA from 1 species
UUCCGUAGGGUAACCUGCGGAGGGAUCAUUACAGAGUUAUCCAACUCCCAAACCCAUGUGAACUUAUCUCUUUGUUGCCUCGGCGCAAGCUACCCGGGACCUCGCGCCCCGGGCGGCCCGCCGGCGGACAAACCAAAACUCUUGUUAUCUUAGUUGAUUAUCUGAGUGUCUUAUUUAAUAAGUCAAAACUUUCAACAACGGAUCUCUUGGUUCUGGCAUCGAUGAAGAACGCAGCGAAAUGCGAUAAGUAAUGUGAAUUGCAGAAUUCAGUGAAUCAUCGAAUCUUUGAACGCACAUUGCGCCCAUUAGUAUUCUAGUGGGCAUGCCUGUUCGAGCGUCAUUUCAACCCCUAAGCACAGCUUAUUGUUGGGAACCUACGGCUUCGUAGUUCCUCAAAGACAUUGGCGGAGUGGCAGUGGUCCUCUGAGCGUAGUAAUCUUUUAUCUCGCUUCUGUUAGGUGCUGCCCCCCCGGCCGUAAAACCCCCAAUUUUUUCUGGUUGACCUCGGAUCAGGUAGGAAUACCCGCUGAACUUAAGCAUAUCAAUAAGCGGAGGA